GACGAACGCUGGCGGCGGGCUUAACACAUGCAAGUCGAACGGAAAGGCCCUGCUUUUGUGGGGUGCUCGAGGGGCGAACGGGUGCGUAACACGUGAGUAACCUGCCCUUGACUUUGGGAUAACUUCAGGAAACUGGGGCUAAUACCGUAUAGGAGCUCCUGCUGCAUGGAGGGGGUUGGAAAGUUUCGGCUGGUGGGGAUGGAUGCGCGGCUGAUCGGCUUGUUGGUGGGGUAGUGGCUUACCAAGGCAUUGAAGGGUAGCCGGCCUGAGAGGGUGAACGGCCACAUGGGUACUGCGAUACGGAGCAGACUCCAACGGGAGGCAGCAGUGGGGAAUAUUGCACAGUGGUCGGAAGUCGGAUGCAGCAACGCCGGGUGCGGGAUGACGGCCUUCGGGUUGUAAACCGCUUUCGCCUGUGACGAAGCGUGAGUGACGGUAAUGGGUAAAGAAGCACCGGCUAACUACGUG
rnacentral:rRNA from 1 species